UACGGCUCAGUAACACGUCGAUAAUCUACCCUUAAGUUCAGGAUAACCUCGGGAAACUGAGGAUAACACUGGAUAGGGAAACAAAUCUGGGAAUGAUUGUUUCUUUAAAAGUAAUGCUUAAGGACGAGUUGGCGGCGGAUUAGGCUGUUGGUGAGGUAACGGCUCACCAAACCGAAGAUCCGUAGGGGCUCUGAGAGGAGUAGCCCCGAGAAGGGCACUGAGACACUGGCCCUAGCCCUACGGGGUGCAGCAGGCGCGAAAACUUUACAAUGCACGCAAGUGUGAUAAGGGAACCCAGAGUGCUUAUACAAUGUAUAGGCUUUUGCCAAGAGCAAAUAUCUUGGAGAAUAAGUGGUGGGAAAGACUGGUGCCAGCCGCCGCGGUAACCCCAGCGCCACAAGUGGGAAUCGCGUUUAUUUGGCCUAAAGCAUCCGUAGCCGGUUUUGUAAAUCUCUUGUGAAAUUGUUAGGCUCAACCUAACAGCGUGCAGGAGACACUGCAGAACUAGGGACCGGGAGGGGUCAGGGGUAUGCAAUGGGGAGCGGUAAAAUGCUAUAAUCCAUUGUAGACCACCUGUGGCGAAGGCGCCUGACCAGAACGGGUCCGACGGUGAGGGAUGAAAGCCAGGGGAGCAAACCGGAUUAGAUACCCGAGUAGUCCUGGCCGUAAACCCUGCUAGCUAGGU
rnacentral:rRNA from 1 species